GAUGAACGCUAGCGACAGGCCUAACACAUGCAAGUCGAGGGGCAGCACAUGAGUAGCAAUACGAUGGUGGCGACCGGCGCACGGGUGAGUAACACGUAUGCAACCUACCUGUAAGAGGGGAAUAACCCGGAGAAAUUCGGACUAACACCGCAUAAUACCGAUUAACUGCAUGGUUGAUCGGUUAAAUAUUUAUAGCUUACAGAUGGGCAUGCGUAACAUUAGAUAGUUGGUGAGGUAACGGCUCACCAAGUCAACGAUGUUUAGGGGUUCUGAGAGGAAGGUCCCCCACACUGGUACUGAGACACGGACCAGACUCCUACGGGAGGCAGCAGUGAGGAAUAUUGGUCAAUGGGGCGAGAGCCUGAACCAGCCAAGUCGCGUGAGAAGAAGGUCUAUGGAUUGUAAACUUCUUUUGUAAGGAAUAAAAGAGUUACGUGUAACUUAUUGUAUGUACUUUACGAAUAAGGAU
rnacentral:rRNA from 1 species